GAUGACAACAAACUUUCCAAUCUGAACGGAUUUAAAUUUGCAUGCGCUUUUCACAGUAAAUACAUAGUAACAACCUCAUGGAUUAUUUAAUUAGAAUUGGAAACAUGGGAUAUUUUACUUGGAGAAACAGAAAUUACAACAAUUUAAGGAUGAAAACCCGGCUAUUUGAGAUUUGAGUACAGAACAACACACUGCUAUAUAGGAGUGCUGUAAAGUAAUGAUUAGCCUGCAUCUUGUUGAUACAGUGAGAAACUAUAGUUUACCUCAUGUUAUCAUUCUAAAUGUUAUCAAUAUUAUACAAGAAGAAACAAAAUAUGGGAAUUUCGAAUCCAAGGUUUUAUACGACAGGUUUUCAUAAUGUAUGGAGAGCAUCGGGUGGCAUACUUAACGAGAUUAACGCACGCCGAUUUUGUUGAUGUUUUACCAGUUGGUAGAAGUUACAUUGUAUCGUCGAUAUAUGCUGUUACAAGGUGAAGGUCAGUUGAUCUGAGUGUGUAUUGAAUUUGAAGAGCAAAACAGAAUGUAUGCUAUAGGCCUACCAGUGCUUAUAGCUUCGAUAUAUCCAUUUUCUCGCAGUUUGUCAGGGUCUCUGUCCAAGAGAUGUUUGAAAAGGUGACUGGGUGUGUUUUUAAAGGUAAAGUUCUUGCUCCAACAAAAAAAUUAUCCACGUCUUUUUUCUUGUACCUUCCUUCGAAAAAUUGAAAAUUACUCAGUCUAAAUCCUUUUUACCGACAACUAGUAUACCGAGCACGACACAAAACAUCUUAAUGCAUUAUUAUUUACAAGCCGUUAACGUGACAAUUGUUUUUUUGUCGAUUAAAUCUAAUCUGUUUAUGAAAUGGCUAAUAGAUGUUUUCAAACCCGAGGGCGCAUAUGACGUCACACAAAAUGGCGCGUAAACUAGCGAAAGAAAAUAUGCAUAUCGCAAGAUUUGAAUUUCAUCGCAUUCAAACUCGAAAACUACGCAAAAUAUUUCAUUUAAAACACAUUUAAAGUAGUUUUAGGCAUAAAAAGAGUUAAUUUUGCUGAAAAAAUGAAAAAGUUUAGAAACAUGCGUUGUGUCCUUUAAGUUUAUUUUAACUUGAGGAUAAUUAAAACUGCAGUUGGACUAUACAGUCCUACAUAUUAGCCCUUCUUGAUUCCCUCCAUUUUGUUGACAAAAUACAUAUUCUUAUGUGGACAAACAUUUUUAAAUAAUAAAAGUACGAUUAUGAAAAUUUACAUGAUUUAGAAAUAAGAAAAUGUGUUUAUAAUAGUAUAGAAUUUCCCUUCCCUAAUACUGAAAAAAAUAUUUAUUAGGCCAUCUUUAAGAAAAUAUUUACUUGCCCUCUUGGCCUCUCCCGACUUGGGAUAAAAAGGGUCGAGUAGGAAAGUAGGGAGAAAAUUCUUUUUUAUUCACAUGAAGUUAAAAAAGCUAUAAAUUAGAUAAGAAAAUUUCGGAAUGAGUAAUAAAAAAAAUGUUAACUGGAGGUUAAAAAAGUUUUUUAUUUUUUUUAAUUUUUUUUUUAAUUUUUAAUAAUAAUAAUAAAGCUUUGAAAUAAAUGGAUUGUGAUUUUCUUUUAUCUUGGCUUCUUUUUCUUAUUCUAGAUGAUGGAGCUGAUGCCUGGUAGUGAGAUCUACAUUUAUCCCAAAGAUAUACAAGCUUUAUAUAAGCCAAAAAACAACAACAAGUGGAACUUUUCAGGAGGGGGAACCUAACUGGUGCAAAUGAAAAGACCAUUUUAAACACUAUUCUUGACGAUGCCGGGAUUCAGAGGCCAUUGUCAAGUUUUCGAUGAGGACCAACAUUAGUUCCCAAGUCAGCCUCCAGAACAUGAAACAGACCUAACUUUUAUACAUUCAGUAAUGUGAGAUAUAUAUUUGGGAUUCCCUUCAUAAGGGAUUGUCCAGUUUUCAAUGUGAUAAUAUGUACAAAGAGUUAGUGAUGAAUAUUUUAUUUAUAUUUUUGUGCCAAACUUUAUAAAUGAUUGAUUGUUUGAUGUUUUCCGCCACGCUCAACAAUUUUUCAGUUACCUGGUGGCACCCAGUUUUUAUUGGUGGAAGAGAGAACCCAGAUACAAUGUACCUUGGAAGAGACCACCGACAUUCCGAAAGUAAACUGGGAAACUUUCUCACUUACCGGCGCGAGCGGGAUUCGAACCCACGCCGACAGAGGUGAGAGGCCAUGUGAUUUGGAGCGCGAUGCUCUAACCACUCGGCCACCUUUAUAAAUGAAAUUAAUAUACCAAUAAUAGUCGCUGUUUAUAAUCGGUAAUGUCUUAUUAUCCCCAUCUUUUUUGUAACUUUUCCAUAACUUUUGUCGGGUAUAACUUUUUUGUAAUUUUUCCAUAACUUUAGUCGGGUAUAACUUUUAUGUAACUUUUCCAUAACUUUUGUCGGGUAUAACUUUUUUGUAACUUUUGUCGGGUAUAACUUUUUUGUAACUUUUCCAUAACUUUUGUCGGGUAUAACUUUUUUGUAACUUUCUCCAUAACUUUUGUUGGGUAUAACUUUUUUGUAACUUUUCCAUAACUUAAAUAUAACUUUUUGAUAACUUUUAUGAAGUAUAACUUUUUUGAAGUAUAACUUUUAUGCACUUGUUGUAUUCAUGUUGAAAUAAAAGAUGAUAACUUA